rnacentral:ncRNA from 1 species
AUAACUGCUCAUAGCAAUGUCGCUUUUUGAUCCUUCGAUACUGACUCUUUCUAUCAUUGUGAAGCAGAAUUCACCAAACGUUAGAUUGUUCACCCACUAAUAGGGAAUGUGAGCUAGGUUUAGACUGUCGUGAGACAGGUU